UACGGGGGGGCAAGCGUUGUUCGGAAUUACUGGGCGUAAAGGGCUCGUAGGCGGCCAACUAAGUCGGAUGUGAAAUCCCCAGGCUUAACCUGGGAACUGCAUCCGAUACUGGAUGGCUUGAAUCCGGGAGAGGGAUGCGGAAUUCCAGGUGUAGCGGUGAAAUGCGUAGAUAUCGGGAGGAACACCUGUGGCGAAAGCGGCUCUCUGGACCACAACUGACGCUGAGGCGCGAAAGCUAGGGGAGCAAACAGG
rnacentral:rRNA from 1 species